AUCCUUUUGUAGUUCACAGCACGAUGACUGGGUUUUUAUGUUCAUGUGUGAGAUGCACCCCUUCAGACUUUUUUACGAUGUCUGGUGGAUU
rfam:Pan troglodytes isolate Yerkes chimp pedigree #C0471 (Clint) chromosome 6, whole genome shotgun sequence.